CCCAUGGAUCCUGGGCUGCAGCACAAGAGUUCUGGCCUAAUUGAGACAGGACCCAGGUUUCUCCCUGCAGGCGCACUCGUUGGACCGAGACGUCCUCCUCAGAGACCCGUAUGGGAACAAUGGACACUGUCACGGUUCCUGGGCUGUGUUUGCAGAGGCCGUGUUUGCUCUGACUGACUGUGCUGUGACUGUACCUGCUGCAGAGCCCAGACCUGCUUGUCCCAAACCUGCCUGAUCUGAAUGGUUGCACCUGAUUCCCAGAGCAACGGGCCUCCUCACAGUGACUCUUGGGUGCUCCCCCCACGUUGGCCGGGUGCCCCCCGCUUCUGCCUGCAUUGGCCGGGUGCCCCCCGCUUCUGAAAUGACUCUAAAAGCUUCCCCCUGUGACUCACACUCUGAGGCCUCCCCGGUGGACACGAUGACAAUCUAUUGACGCCCGCCACGAGGACUGCGAAGGUGGUCUUGGGCUCCAGCCUCACGAGGACUCACGCCUGUCAGUCGGUAUUCCAAAAGAAGUGGGGUUCCAUUAGAAGAUGAAGUUGUGACAGGACUGAAGAUCUCCUCCUCUUUGCGGCAUUGUUUACAUGUUUUAAUCUUGGUUUGUAUUGUGUCUCACAGACAAGUGCAAUAGCAGGCUGUAGGGAGCUGGGUGGAUGUAAAGCAAGGGCACCACUACCUCUCCCAGAAAAGGUGUAAACAGGUGGGGAACUCACACUCCCAGGAAAGGACGAUGUGAAUCUUCAUGCCCUGGGAAGUGUGAAACUGUAAGUAUAUGUGGGAAUUAGAAUGCUUUGGUAUUAAUUUUAAAAAGGUGCUUAAAAGAUGUAUAGGGGCUGAACUGAUGUAUUUUGAGUGUCUGGUAUCUAGUUUAUGGCUGCUAUUGACCUUGAACUCUUUGAUAAGCCUUAAACAGUUGAUGUCAUUACCAAAUCAAUAAGCUACUUUAAUGCCUGAUUUGAUUUGCAACAGGUGCAACAAAUGGUUUGCCACUGUGACACACUCCAGCAAGCUCUUUAUAGAUCACCAAAACCCUUGGCCAAGUCAAUAGAGUGCCACAAUUUGGCAAAUACUCUUGAGAGCAGACUGCAGUUUUGUAAAUCUAACUUUUUUUAUGUCCUUAAACACAGUAACGUAACAGUUCACAUAAUCAUAGAAAAAUGUAGGUUGAAAUAGAUCUCUAAAGAUCACCUAGUCCAGUGUUCCACUGUUGUAGAUCUACCCUCAAAACCGAUGUCAAACUGUUUAGGACUUUAUCCAAAGAAUUUCUUAGGAUGGAGAUUCCAUAUCCUCUUCGGACAUCUUGUUUCAGUGUUUAGACACUCUUAUUGUUAAGUACUGCUUCAUUGUUGCCUCUGUGAUUUUCCGUGCUGCACCUUGUGACUGUGUGGUUUUUUUCUGGAAGCCUACAAUAACAGGAGAAGAAUAUGACUGUUCUGAAUAACCUCCGUUUAGAUAGUGGAAGACUAAAUACUCCAAUUGACCUUUUUCUUCUUUUCCCCCUGUAUUUAUUUUUUGCCUUUUUUUUUUCCCCUUUAUUCCUUUAUUCCCUUUUUCUUUUUUUCUUUUUUCACUUUUCCACUUUCUUCACUUUUUUUUUCACUUUUUUCACUAUUUUUCUCUCUCUAUUCCCCAACCAAAAAAAAAAAAAAAAAAAAUACCCAGACUUUAACCUCUUCUGCCCUGGUUCCUUCCUCUCUUUCCCAUAUGGAGGAAGCCAAAACUGCAACAAGAGUGACAGAAUGGAUUAAUUUUUCUUAGUUUUCUUAUUUCAGUGUUAUAUUCAUUAUUUCAACAGAGCUAUAAAACUAAUAAAUUCUUUCAUAAAUCUCUUUCCCCCUUUUCUCCAAAAUACUGUGAAGUAGUUUGACAAUCUGACUUUGACUCAGAUACAGAAAGGGAUUUGACCCCUACAAAAGCUAAGAAAUAUAAAGGAUGUAUUAUUUGACUUUCGAGUGACAGUAUUAAACAAUAUAUUAUUGUAUAUUGAAAGAAGCAUCUGAAGGCUAAAAGGUCUUCUUCAAAAACAACUAUUCUUUAUUGUUUUAAAGUCAAGGUUAGUAUGAUCUCGGUGUAUUAAAGUGAUUUCUUUUUAGUGAAUAUAAUCAUUUAUUAAAUUAUUUUAAAACAAGAAGAUUAAAGUAUUUUUU